CGUAGUUUUGGCUUCACGUCAAACUCAGCGGCAUAAAAUGACUUCCCAUUGUAAUAAAACCUGGCCAGCGUCUCACCAAAUCCAUCGUCGUCACCAGGGCGAAUCAACUUUAAACUUUCCAGAGUUUAAUCCGUGUAUUGAUGACACCGGGCGUCAAUAGGUGCAGGGUCUGCAUAUAUCUGUGAUGGGUGUCUCAGGCGUUUGAUGAGGGAGAUAAUUAAGUAGCCUAGAUAACGUCUCAGGCGUUUGAUGAGGGGAGAUAAGUAGGGUGGAUACAGUCUGAGGGGUUUGAUGAGGGAGAUAAACACAUGAUCAAUAUUUGCGUGAUGUAGUCUCAGGCGUUUGAUCAUGAUGAGGGAGAUAAACACAUCAGCAUUAUAUGACUUAUGGCCCAGGCGUUUGAUAAGGGAGAUGAAGUCGGGAUCAAUAUUUGCGUGAUGCAAUAUUAUCAGGUGUUUGAUGAGGGUGAUAAAACUGAAUCAAUAUCUGUGAGAUAUAUGGUCUCAGGCGUCUGAUGACGAGAUAAACUUAGGAUCAAUAUCUGCGUCAUAUAGUCUCAGGCAUGUGACAAGGGAAAAAGAUGAAACAAUCCAUAAAAAAAGUCCUAGCCUCAUUUGAAAUAACUGUAUAUAAAAUUAUAACUGAAUAUGGUAAAGUAUAUUCGAAAGGUUUGGUUGAUUAGAUACCACCAAUGCAUGUUAUGCGCUAACCAGCAUUCAGCAUUCACCCUUUCAUGAACAUACAUGUGUACACGUAUUAUGUAAUGUUGUUGUCUAUUUCAGAUCUGGUAUGGACAUCGUCUGGCCUGUUGGCGUCAGCAACAAGGAUUGCCUGCCAACAGCGGUUCGGUAAAGGACUGAACAUUGGAACAAAGACAAUUGGUCUGUUGUGGUUCUGGAGUAACCAAUGGGACACGGCUAGCCAAUUCCUGUCAAGCCAUGCAAUCAUUCAUCCUACCUCUGCAUCAACAUCAAAAUCUGCCUACGUGGAGGUCACAUUGAACAAUGAACCUUUGACCUUGUGAAGGUUGACACAAUGUCCUUAACACUGGCAUUGAAACUGUGAUGUGGUCACGCGACAUUGGCACUGUGACGUAUUUUGCUUUAUGACGUGUUCAAACCUAAAGUGAUAAGAGUACGCUAUAGCCUAAACUGUAUCCAGGUUGUGUUCGCGGAAGAAGAAUUUCACCCUUUGACCUUUCGAUUUAUGAAAGUAAAUUCGAACACGUGAUACAAAUGCUGACGUCAUUCAUUGCGGCUUUGGAAUACAAAGAUCUGGAAAUCCGAAUUAUGAUUUGUCCUUGACACAUUUUGUAAUUUGAACUUUUUAAUGUUACACUUAAUUACACCAUGAUAAUUUUAUAAUCAUUUUUAAUGAUAUUCACAUUAUGCAAAUCUAAUUUUAAAGUGAAAUUAGUAUUUUUCAAUUUACCAUUUUGAGGUUAUUGACAAACGAAAUUUCCAAAGUUCAUCUAUUGUUCUUUAAUAAUUCCAUUUUUAUGACAAAAUGUCAUGUCUGUGGCCUUGAAUAAUUGCAAUACAAUGACCUUGACCUGCCUUGAAAUUAUCUCCCUUUAAUAGGGCCGACCUCAUAAAUCCGCUUUUUAUCACAGUCCUCUUAGUUUUACACGCAACGUAAAUCAUUGUACAUUUGUCACAUCUCAGCUCUAACGGUUGGGACGACAAGAUUUGUUUUAAACUUAAUAUAAAUCAAAUCAGGGUAUAGAUAGAUAAAAAUCAAAAUUAUUGUAACCACCAUCUAGUCUAUGGGAUCCGGUAGAAUCUUUACCUUUACUUUAAACAAACGUUUAAGCUUUGGUGCUUCUGUCAGCAUCUUUUUUCUAAGAUUUCACAAUUUUCUGUGUACAAUGCAUGUUUCCCCCUCGUUUUCAUUGUUUUCUUGGUAAAAUAAACAACGUAUUCAAAUCAGUUUCUCUUUCUGAACAAAAAUAUAUUUUGAAUAUGUUAUUUUAAACGAGGACAUUUUCUCGGUUUAAGUUCAGUGUUAAGUAAUACUUUCCUUUUCAAGGUACAAUGAUGCUACUGUACAUGUGCUAACUUUUUGAGAUAAAAGUGUUUUACGGGAGAUUCCCUCCACAUUUAAACUUAUCUUGCUUUUUCAUGUUAUUUCUUAUGAGGCAGCGUAUAAUUGACUGAUGUUAGGAAGAAUUUAUAAGUAAUUAUUUUAAUUCUUUUUCAUUAAUUAAUCUUCUUUAUAUAAAGUCCCUUGAUUAAUAUGUGUUUAACCAGCAACAAAAUAUUAUUGUUUGGCAAAAUUUGGUACUUUCCAACUUGUAUAUUCUAGUCAAUUUGUUGUGCAUUCUUGUUAAACCUAUCAUUUUUUUUUUCAUUUACCAUAUGUACCAUUGUCUUGUAUAGCUUCUAGUACUCAAUUUAAUUGUUAGUGAAAUUCAUUUUUACAACAAUUUAUGAAAAAAAAUAAAUGAAAAAAUGACAUUGCACCUUGUUGGUCUGGAUGGAAACUCGCAGGGGAAUUACCCUUGGCGAAAACCGGAAUACCCGCAGAAAACCCUCCUUGUUGCGGAGGGACCCCGGCCGUCUUAGUAAAAGCCGAGCACGCUAUCCAAUACGCCAUGCAUCUGACCUCCAAAUUGAAUUUAUUUGUCAAUUGAAUUCAUGCAUGUUUAGAAUCAGCUACUUUCAAAAUAGUAAGGUAAAUUUAAUGCCGUGUACAUAUUUUUCAGUUCAUACAAGUUCAAAAUGUUUGCAUUCUUUCUGAAAUCUUUUCUAAAACUGAAAAAUCUCCUACAUUUUAUCUUCUUCCUUCCAGGACAGAUAACUUUCUUUCUGUUGAACUCCUUAAGGUUCCAGAACGAGGCUUUGUUUCACCUAAGAUAUCACAUGUUUCUGCAAAACUCUAAAAAUCCCGAAACUCAAUAUAUUACCACAAAUGUCACAUGUUUUGAUAUAUAUGAAAUGACAUUUUGCUUAUAAAUAUACACAAUUUAUUCUGGCAUCCGAAAAGACCAUUUAUUCCGAUAAACAUGUAAAUGACUAAUUGUUACACCAGAUCAAAACAAAAGAUCAUUGACUGUAAAUAAUAAUGUCAGGUCGAACAUUCUGACAUUUAUAUCAGGAUUGCAGACGGAAUCCAGCGUAUUGUAAACAUCUGACAAGCAUAGAAAGUCGCAUUGUCUCCCUAAUAUUAUAUACGAUAUUCUCAAAUAAAGGAAGCUUGCUUGCAGGUUUAUCAUUCCAUGAACUGUCAGGGCCAUUUUGAGACGUGGUCACCUUGUAGUAGCUGGUGACUACCUCACUGAACAAUAUAUAGGAGACCACGUGCUGUCUGGACAGAGCAUACGCAAUUGAGGUCAUUUUUAGACGGGGUCACCUUGUAGUAUUUGGUGGCCACCUCACUGAAUAACAUAUGGGAGGCCACGUGCUAUCUUGACAGAGCAUGCGCAAUUGAGGUUAAGUGUUUUGGCCAAUGACACAAUCACGACAGCACUUAAAAUGAAGAAAAGAAAUCUUAAAUGGCGUUAAUUAAAGUAAUAAUCCACAUCCCAAUGACGUCACUACGGUGAAACUGAAAGUAGUUUUCCUGACAGUGUGUGCGGCCGAGUUAACGACAUAUAAUUUCCAUCUUCUCUACACGUAGUUAACACGUCCGAGGAUUAUUUGUUUUGUGCUGCGAAAUAGAGUCAUUUUUAUCACCGAUAUCGAUGGAUGUGGCAACGAAUCUCGAUAUCAUAAGCACGAGAAUUUAGCUUGUGUUCACCAUAUAAAUAUAGUGAAGUCUGUUACACGAAAUCUUAUAUAGAUGGUUGUCUAUAAUUAUUAAACCUUGAAAUGUUAUUGGAAUUUAAAUCUUCACAUAUGAAUUACGUGCUCUGUCAAAAAAAAAAAAAAAAAAAUCUAGACAUUUAAAACCCAUCAUAUUUGUCAUGAUGAAUAAAAAGAUGACACGAAUAGCUUCUACUGGCUUUGUGAGGACAUCGGGCGGUUCCGAUAUCCUGUCCAGAAAAAAAUGUAGUAAAACGCACAGGAUCUUGACACAUCGUCUCAACCCCGCGGUCAAUAUAUGUCUAUUAAACAUGCAAAUAUCUUAUUCAGACCGUGGGAUGGGAAUUUCUGUCAAGUCCCUGUGAUACUUAGCUUCCUUGUACCAGAUCAACUUAAAAUCUCUGUUGCAUGACUUUUCUAAUCGCUCUAGUGAAUUUGAUCGACAUUGUGUGAUGUUAAUUGUGUAGAUAUUUUAUGGAAGCCAACGUGACGACUUUUUUUCCUGUAUAGUCACACGGGUCCUUUAUAACGAUAGUCGAUAGUCCCGGCGUUCUCCUCUCGUGCGAGAUGCCGUUUGAUGUUGAUAUUGAUUUUUAUGGUUCAGUAAUUCCAUCCAUGUUUACUAGCGACACACAUGCUGGUACAAUUUCUGCAGCCAGAAAACUGUUACGUGUACUUUACAAAAUGUACGAAGCGGAAAAUUUAUUCAUAAUCCUAUUCUUAUGGCAUAAAUAAAACCUGCUAUACAUGUUUUGAAUAGUAACGCAUGUUUGGUAAAGAAAGCUAUCUCGGCAUUAUAUCUGGCUUUUCUGACGAAAUAGUAAAUGAAUAAAAAGCAUUGAUAGGGUUAACGUUAAAUGCGUUUCAUUUCUGUGGUAACAGAAAACUGUACCGACUUUGUGUACUGUUCGAAUAGUUGGUCAAGUCCGUGAUUAAAUACAGAAAUGUUGUUAUUAUAAUAUGAGUCACAAACAAAAAUAUUUUUAUGUCCUUACAAUGAAAGAACACUGUAUAUUAUAACAGCGAGCAUUUCAUACCCAAAUUUGGCGUUCUUUACAAUCUCGGAAAAAAUGGUCGGUAAUCUUCGGAAAAUCUCCGAUGCGAUUGAAGCGUGUAACGUGAUAUACUGGAGGCUGCCGGAGUUAUGUCCCUUGUUACAUUGAAGCAAAGCCCUACAGUAUACAUGUAUAUGGAUUUAAUUUUGAUAUGAGGGUCCCACUUAUGCUUUUCCCCCGUUUAUUUAUAUGUUCAUGUUUAAGUCGAAUAAAAAUAGUCAACGUGAACACAGGCAAAGUUCGAAGACAUAUUUAUAUUUUUGAUAAGCACUGUGUGAUCUGACUAAUAUUAGUUUCUGAUUUAGGAAAAUACAAAAUUGGGAAAUUAAAUUAUUUAAUUUAUAAUGUGAUAAGAAUUCCAGAAAAUUGUAAUCUUUGUAUUUCUAUAACAACGAAAUGCUCUACAUUCCAAUGAUCGGAAACGACAUCAAUAAUAUGUAUAUUUUCAAAAUACCAAGUAAACAUCUUUGACAGUAUACUGUAAAAACGUUAUUUUUUUGUGGAUUUUUAAUUGAUCAUUUUUCAUUAAUAUAUAUGAUGGGUUGUUGUAUGAAUAUGUUACAGAUUAGUGUUGACCGGUACACCCGGUUCCUUAUUAUGACAUGAAGCUACAUGUGGGUUUAAUUGUCAGUAGGUUUACCAGUUUACCAGUUCCGAUGUUCUGAUUCUUAAGACAUAAUCUUUACAAUAAUGAAAUUCAUCCUCUGUUCAAAGCCAUUGGCUGGUCACUUUUAAAAUACAUUCGGGAACUAUCAUCAGUUAUUCUGGGCGGUGUGCAAUUUCAAUUUCAGCUGCUCUCGAGUUUAUGAAAUGUCCUAAUCAGCGACAUAUAAAUAGACCAUUAUGAUCUACGCAAAUCAAAAAUACACAUCUAGACUAAAAUAGACAUGGUUUAUAACAGAAAAGCAGGUUUAGAACAUCUCAUACAGGAAGCAAUUAUACAUGACCUUGACUUUGAGAAAUCGUCAAUGUAUGUCCUUCACCUUGGCGGUUCAUCGCCUUUUGACUAUGGCCUUGAUUAUACACCAAAGUACAUUUUUCGUCCUUCACCUUGGUAGUAAAUCACCAUCUUGGCCUUGACAUUGAUUAAUGCGUCAUUGUUAUAACCUUAUUAAAAGCUCACGACCUUCACCUUGGUAGUACCUCAGCAUUAUAAAGUUUGACCUUGACCUUGGUAAGAAAUACCUCACCUUUACCUUUCUGUGUUAAGUAUGCAGUAUUUUUUGUCAUACGUAUCGGAUUUAAAUGAAGUUAAUUAUGAAAAUAUUUAAUUACAUUUGUAUUUGUCUGUAAUGUAUCCAGGCGUGUUGUUGUACAAAAAUACCUAUUAUUUUUAACCAUUGUUAAAUCCUGUUUUAUUGUUCAUAUAUAUUCCAGGACGAUAACAUAAAGUCAUUGCAAGCCUUAUUUUGUAACCUACUGUUUUUACCUAUUGAUCAAUUAUCGUUCAUUUUGUUCGAAUUCGUAUAUUUCCUUUUUUUCUCUUGACUUUGCAUGCUUAAGGAAAUUUACAAGAAUUUUGUUUGAUUUGUGUAAACGCUCGUUACUGAUGAUUGCAUGUAAUUUAAACUGUAUACAGGAAACAAAUUUACAUAAUGUAGUUGUUAUUUUCUCUUUGUUUUUUUGCUUCAAUUGAAAAUUAAAGAAUUUGAAAUACAUGUAAUUCAGUGUAGAACUUCAAUUAUUUAAAUGUGUUAUACAAAACAUACCGGUCCUUGUUAUUCUAUGAUUACGAAAAAGCUUCCAUGGAUACAGAGGUCUCGUUAUUCAAUGGUCCAGAAACAAUUUCCAUGGAUACAGGGACCUUGUUUUUAGUAUUCAAUGGUCCAGUAACAAUUUCCAUGGAUACAGGGACCUCUUUAUUCAAUUGUCUAGAAACCAUUUCCAUAGAUCCAGAGACCUUAUUAUUCGAUGCUAUUUGUUUAUAUUGCUGAAAAUAUUGAAUGUUUGUUUUUGUUUAAGAUGAUUCAUUAGAAAUAUUUUUUCAUUAAGAUAGAUAUAUAGCUAAGCAAACCACAAGGAUUACAGUAUAUAUUUCAGCGACAAAGAAUUUUUGUAUAGAGCUCUUAUUGAUAUAUUGAAGUAUGUUUAUAGUGUAGAAUAUGCCAGCAUUCGCUCGUCAUAAUGACUUCUGUACAGUAUGUGGGUUUGGGUUAAUGACGACAUUGUGUUUAAUUAUUCAUUGAUGACAGUGUUUGACAUUCCCAUUUGUUUCACAGUAACUGGAGACAUUCCUAAAUGUCUCACCGAGUACAUUUUUAGACAGACCAUGUAGCAUGGGGUUGCCAAAGGAGAUGACUUUCACCAAAAGAAUUCAAUGUACAAAUUCUUGGACAAAAACUUAUUGAUUGUCAGAUUAAAUAUAUUUGUUUGCUUUUCUGUAAAUUUCAUUUUUGUGAAUGAUUUUUUUUUUCACGAGACUAGAGGCGACCUCUGAUAUUUGGUGGUCCAAGACCCUAUGUGUACAGUACUGUAUAGAGGCGACCUCUGAUAUUUGGUGGUCUAAGGCCCUAUGUGUACAGUACUGUAUGAAGGUGACCUCUGAUAUUUGGUGGUCUAAGGCCUUAUGUGUACAGUACUGUAUGAAGCUGCCUCUGAUAUUUGGUGGUCUAAGGCCCUAUGUGUACAGUACUGUAUGAAGGUGACCUCUGAUAUUUGGUGGUCUAAGGCCCUAUGUGUACAGUACUGUAUGAAGGUGACCUCUGAUAUUUGGUGGUCUAAGGCCCUAUGUGUACAGUACUGUAUGAAGGUGACCUCUGAUAUUUGGUGGUCUAAGACCCUAUGUGUACAGUACUGUAUGAAGGUGACCUCUGAUAUUUGGUGGUCUAAGGCCCUAUGUGUACAGUACUGUAUGAAGGUGACCUCUGAUAUUUGGUGGUCUAAGGACCCUAUGUGUACAGUACUGUAUGAAGGUGACCUCUGAUAUUUGGUGGUCUAAGGACCCUAUGUGUACAGUACUGUAUGAAGGUGACCUCUGAUAUUUGGUGGUCUAAGGCCCUAUGUGUACAGUACUGUAUGAAGGUGACCUCUGAUAUUUGGUGGUCUAAGACCCUAUGUGUACAGUACUGUAUGAAGGUGACCUCUGAUAUUUGGUGGUCUAAGGCCCUAUGUGUACAGUACUGUAUGAAGGUGACCUCUGAUAUUUGGUGGUCUAAGGCCCUAUGUGUACAGUACUGUAUGAAGGUGACCUCUGAUAUUUGGUGGUCUAAGGCCCUAUGUGUACAGUACUGUAUGAAGGUGACCUCUGAUAUUUGGUGGUCUAAUUAAGGCCCUAUGUGUACAGUACUGUAUUUAUAUCACACCCUGCAUCACCAGUCAAUAAAAAACAAUGCCUUUUUCCGACAUGUGAUAAUUAUGUAUAAUUUAUUAUUUUUUUUUACAAAACUACAGUAAUAAAGUAAAGAAUUACAAUUUUUACAUGAAAUUAAAAAAAAAUUCACCAAAUUUAAGUAACACAGCCUCUGAUUACAUCACAGUUCUUUAGCACGGGUAACAGAAAAAAACUUGUCACUGUGUGUGUUACUUAACCAAACUUCAUCAUUUGACACUGAAUAAACAUGUAAACAAUCUUGUAUACCUCACACUCAUCACUACCCACAUGUAACACCAACAACAUGGAUGUAAAUAUCAACAGCUACAAGGCAUGGAAAACAUCAGGCAGUAGAUAUCAAAGGCCAAAAAUUAAUGAUUUGUUUUUGUUUUUUCUUUGAGGUCAAAUGGACAUCAGGUAACCACUUUAUAUCACACACACCGCCAUUGUUAUAUGAUCAGGGAACAUAACUCUGUUUUGACAAGUAGUUUUAUCCAUCGCAUCACCGACGAGUCCUAGAAGGGUGGAACAGCUGUGUGAUGUCCCUAGCAUCACUGAUGUGUCCUAGAAGGGUGGAACAGCUGUGUGAUGUUCCUAGCAUCACUGACAAGUCCUAGAGCGACGAAACAGCUGUGUGAUGUCCCUAGCAUCACUGAUGAGUCCUCAAACAAGGAAACAGCUGUGUGAUGUCCCUAGCAUCACUGAUGAGUCCUCAAACAAGGAAACAGCUGUGUGAUGUCCCUAGCAUCACCUAUGCAUCCUAGAAUGGUGGAACAGCUGUAUUAUGCAGAUCUCCUGAUUCGACACACAAUAUUUCACAGCAUUCAGAUCAUGAAGUGAUUUUUUUCAUGAAGUGUAUCUAGUAUAAUCCUUAUAAUCCGAGAAAUGUAAAUGAUUUAACGUUAGGGCAUGAUAUGAUAUUCCAAUAAGUAAUGAAAUGUAAGCUACCUGUGGACAUACAUUGUCAUACAGGUUACAUAGACACAGCAGAAAGUUUCAGAAUUUACCUAAAUAUAUAAUUACAAACAAAAUUGUAAAUUGUUAUAAAAUCAGGGACUGGCGACGUUCAUCACCUCACAAUACAAACAUUCAGCUGUACAUAUAUGUAAAUAAUCACUUCAUUUGUACUAGAUUUACAUAC